UGCGACAUCAAAUACUUAUACCGACACAUUUGCUCCUAGUGUUCUACAUUUUAGCACAAAUGCAAAUGCACAAUAUUUUUUAUAUAAAAUACAUUCAUAAUAUUAAAUUCAUGUACAAUAUGCAACACAUACAAACAAUUGAACUCUUCUAUUCAUCACAAGAUAUCAUUGAUCAAUGCAUUAAUUUUAAUAUCUAUAUAAGAUUCAAUAGUUUUCUUCACUCAAGUUAGCUACAACCAUUAUGGAAAUACACAAGUCGGAUAUACAAGAGAGGCAUGUUACAAACAUAAUGGCCAAAGUUCAAAAGAGACCAAGGGACCAAAUCUUCAAUCGCCAAGCCAAAUCAACUUCCAUAUGAACAAAAUGUGUCAUCCAUAUUAUCAAGAAAAGCAAUCACAAGAACAUCUUCGAUCAACUAGUGGACUUGCUACUUUCUACCAUUUUCCCUACAAUAGAACGCAUAUGUUUCAGCAAUCUUUGAAACAAUACAAUGUAUUCAAAUGCAUGAGUUGCCUUUGAGUCCAAAGGUCUAAGAAAUAGAAGAUGUACAAAAGUAAACUGACACUUGAUUGCCUCACCUCUCUAAUAAAACUUAUGCAUAUAAUUGCGGUUCAUGCAUUCUAUAGUUAUAAAGCAAAGAUUCAAGUUACAAAAGGUAACAUUAUUAGAAUAUAAACCAAAGUCAGCAUAGCACCUAGCAUAUCAGAAAUGGCUUACUAUAAAAAUGCAUGAAAUCGCUGAUGAGCACUCAGGUUGUUCUAAGCCAUUAGGAGUAAGGUCCUUACUGUAAUUUGAGAGAUUGCAUUAGAAGCUACUCAAUCAGCAAAACGCUACAACACCUAUGUUUACCUACAAAAGGAGACGGGUGUAAUCCUAAUAUGUGGACUGAACUAAAUAUGGUUCCCAGAAAAAUAAUGGUCAAGUUUUGUUUUUUUGUGGCUGAUCUUUAAAAGAGAGCAAGCUUCAGUUUAGCUGUUAGGAAUUGCAGACUGACGGACAAUUGUACCACUCACCGUGUUUGAACAAAUAUGCAAGCAAACAUUCAGUUUAGCUUGCAUACUAAAUCACACAUUUCUGCUAGCUUCCAUGAUCAAGUCUCUGAACUUGAUACUAUUUGCAUAUAAACAUAGAAACCAAACAUUAUAUGUUCUGCUAUAACCCAGAUUUAUUAUCACCUUAUCGUGCCCUUAAUUCUAAUCUAUUUCUGAUAGAAAUUAGAUAAUCUAGUAGCCUGAUGCAUCAUCCAUUUAUAAUGACAUUACAAACUGCACUGUAUGUGUUUAGUUAUGAAGCAUGAAACCAGACAAGAAAAAUACAAAGAUUGCCCAAAAGAAAAAUAAUAGUGUUAGUUCAAACUGAGGACCAUUUUCCCCAUUCUGAACCUUUGUCUUAUUUAAUCUAGUGUUUAGUUCAAACCGAAGAUCACAUGAAGAUUCUAAGCAAAAGAACAACUUAUUUAUAAAACCCUCCAUUAAUUUAAUCUAGUUUAGUUUCAACCGAGCAGCAACUUGAUCAUGGUUUAGUAUUUGUUUAUCCUGGACCGAACUAGUAGAUUUGAUGAACAAUGGCUGAAUAAGAAAACUACUACUACAAGUCCAGUCCCUAGAACCAACAAAUAUUAAGCAUCGAUCCCAUGGUCUGCAAGGGUCAAAGUAAAGAGCAAUUUCUACUGUACCAGAUUCAGAUUAGACUGUUUACUCAAUAAAUAAACCUGAAAUUUAAUCUAUAAGCAAACAACAUCGAUAUUAUUCAAUAAAAACCUCAAGAGGAACAAGCCGCAAAAAAGAUGCAUUCAGUUUGAUAUAUCAAUGUAAACAGGACAAAUAACGCUUAAACAAUGAAAACAAAAGCAAGAAAGAAUGAUUGAUGUUGUUGUGGCUUGCAUGUGACUCCAUUUUCGGUUGCGACAAUGACUAGAACAUCUUAGCCAAAGAGGGAUCACAAGUCCAGAACAAAAUAAGAUAACUGCAUUUACGCACAAUUCCUAGUUCCUUACCAAACAUGUCGCGCCUACUGAUGCAUCAGUGGCGGACUGAACUAGUGCAGUCAGUUAGCUGAACUGCAACGCUAGUGUGUGUGUGUGGGCUUGGGGCCGUAUGUGUUGUGGGCCUGAGGCCAUGUAAGGGUAAGCCCAGGAGGGGCGGCUACUUAUGUACGAAACACUAAGGAGAAAGGCAGCGAGUGAUUGACUGAACCUUCUUUCCCCUCCUCCACGUCUCUCACCUACUCUCUUCUAUCUUCCUCAUCCCCAAUUUCCGAUCGAGAUCCGUCUGGGCAUUACAAUCUGGUAAUCAGAGCCUUCCCGAAAUUUUUUUUCCGCCACCACUCUACACGGAGGGCGCAGCGCAGCUGCCGUUCGCCCGGCUCGUCAACCAUGGGCCGCCCCUGCUGCUGCAAAACUCUCCCACGGCGUACGAGCGGGGCGCCGAGCAUUACACCAAGCCGCCCAAGCACGACUUCCCCCGUUUUGACGGCGACGCGCCGCGCAUCUGGCUGGAGCGGUGCCUCUCUUACUUCGAGCUCUACCGGGUGCCGCAGCACAGUUGGGUCGCCACCGCCGGCCUGUAUAUGGAUGGGCUUGCGGCCAUGUGGCUUCAGGCGUACAAACAGACGCACCCUGCUCUGUCGUGGCCCGCCUUCAGAACCGCAGUGGAAGCAGAGUUUGGACCUGAAGAAUUUGAAAGUUUGGACCUGAAGAAUUUGAAGCGCAGAUGCAUCAGCUAGUGCAAUUGCGUCAGACUGGGAGCGUGCAAGAGUAUCGACAGCAAUUUGAAACCUCCAUGUACCACCUAUUGUCUCUGGAUCCAACCCUGAGCACACAGUUCUUCAUCUCACAGUUCCUUCUCGGUCUGAAGGAUGAACUGAGAUUGGGUGUCCGUUUGCAAGCCCCAACAAGCAUCACACGCGCAGCUGUUUUCGCGAGGAUUCAGGAAGAAGAACUGGAGAAGCAACGUUUGCAGCGCCCGCGCAUUGUCCCAGUGGGCAGGCCACCUCCAGCGACAACCAACACCAACCAAGCUCGCGCAGCGCCUCCCCCGCGACCGGGCGGCGACGAGUACACGCGCGAGCGGCAGCUGCGCGACUUCAGACGAGCCAAUGGGCUUUGUUUUCGCUGCGGCGACAAAUACUCCCGCGAACAUCAGUGCAAGCGCACGGGACAAAUACUGAUGAUUGAGGUGGGCGAUUUCGGCGAGAUCCUCUCGGAUGACACCGUGCACGCGCUGCAAUUGCUCGAUGAACCAGCCCUGCCCGAGCCGGAGUGCUGUACCUUAUCGCAGGACGCAAUUUCCGGCGAAGACGCGCCGUCCACCGUUCGUCUUCGCGCCCAAGUCGGAGAUCAAGUGAUGCUGCUCCUGGUGGACUCGGGCAGUUCUCAUAGCUUUGUUAGCGAAGCAUUCAUUCAACGCAUUGCAGCCGACACCCAGCCACUGUCGCCCGUCUCCGUUCGGGUAGCAAAUGGCCAACGCUUGCACUGCAACAAGAUGGUAAAGCAAUUGGCAUGGCAAGUGCCAGGACACACAUUCCACACUGAUCUACGGGUGUUGCAGUUGAGUGCAUAUGACGCAGUGCUGGGAAUGGAUUGGCUCUCUGACCACAGUCCGAUGAACUGUCACUGGAAAUUAAAGCGUAUAUCAUUCGAAACCGAGGGCAAGACGGUGCAACUGCAAGGGGUUCGCACCACCAAUCUCUCCCCCACGGCCGUACUGGAUGCUUAUGAACUUCACCGAAUGGAGAUCGCCAAUGACAUAUGGACAGCAGCUCUGGUCACUGUCGAGCCGUCAGAGAAAGGGAAUACUGAACCGAUACCUCCCAGGAUUCAGCAAGUGCUCUCUGAAUAUCAAGAUGUGUUUGCUGAACCCAAGUCCCUGCCUCCUCAUCGUCAGUAUGACCACGGCAUACACCUGGAGCCAGGCACUACACCCAUCAACACCAAACCAUACCGCUACUCGCCAAUGCAGAAGGAUGAGAUCGAGCAGCAAGUACAAGAGAUGUUACAAUCAGGGGUCAUUGUGCACAGCAUGAGUCCAUAUGCCGCACCAGUCCUGCUUGUGAAGAAAAAGGAUGGCAGCUGGCGUUUCUGUGUUGACUUCCGUCGACUGAAUUCUGCGACGGUGAAGAACAAAUUUCCGCUGCCCAUUGUGGAUGAACUUCUGGACGAGCUUGCGGGAGCAAAAUAUUUCUCCAAGAUCGACCUCCGUGCAGGGUAUCACCAGAUCCGCAUGCGUGAGGAGGAUGAAGCAAAGACUGCUUUUAAAACCCACCACGGGCACUAUCAAUUCAGAGUGAUGCCAUUUUGCCUUUGCAACGCGCCGGCAACCUUCCAGUGUCUGAUGAACAGCAUAUUCGGCCGCUAUGUCCGUAAGUUCAUCAUCAUUUUUCUUGACGAUAUCUUGGUCUUCAGCUGUGAUCUACAGGAACAUGAACAACACUUGCGCCUCACACUUGACCUGCUACGCGAACACCAACUGUUUGCCAAGGCGUCCAAGUGUUCAUUCGCCCAGGAAAGCAUUGAGUACUUGGGCCACGUCAUUUCACAGGACGGCGUCGCCACGGACACAAGCAAGAUGAGCGCGAUGCAGGCGUGGCCGGUGCCCUCUACACCCACUGAACUGCGUGGUUUUCUUGGCCUCACCGGCUACUACCGCAAGUUUGUCCCACAUUAUGGCAUCAUCGCGAAGCCGCUCACCCAGCUCCUGACCAAGAAGGGAUUCGAGUGGAGCGCCAAGGCCCAGCAGGCGUUCGAGAUGCUGAAACAAGCGAUGGUGAGCACCCCCGUGCUAGCACUCCCGAACUUCUCACGCCCUUUUGCCAUUGAGACGGACGCGUGCGACACGGGAGUGGGCGCGGUGCUCACCCAGGAUGGCCACCCCGUCGCCUACCUCAGCAAGGCUUUGGGGAUCAAGAAUCAGAAGUUGUCCACAUAUGAAAAAGAGUUCUUGGCCGUUAUGAUGGCCAUCGACAAGUGGAGACCUUACCUGCAGCGCGCGCCGUUUGAAAUCGUCACCGACCACAAGAGCCUCUGCAUGCUUGGGGAUCAACAGCUGGUGACGGAGCUGCAGCGCAAAGCCAUGUCCAAGAUGGUGGGCCUGCAGUUCACCUUUCGGUACAAGAAAGGCGUCGACAAUGGUGCCGCUGAUGCGCUAUCCAGGGUGGGACAUCUGUUGACACUGGAUGCGUUAUCAGUCUGUCAGCCCCAGUGGUUACAAGAAGUCGCCAACUCCUACGAAACCGACCCAGAAUCACAAGAACUCCUGACCAAGCUGGCACUCACCACCACAGAUGAUCAAGGGCGAACACUUCAGAACGGCGUGAUCAGGCAGCGUGGGCGUCUGUGGAUUGGAGCCAAUUCCGCGCUGCAGACCAAGCUGAUCGCCGCACUGCAUCACAGUGCUGUUGGGGGCCACUCCGGUGCAACAACGACGUACCAUCGUGUCCGGAAACUGUUCGCGUGGCCUGGACUGAAGCGCGCCGUGGAGGAUUUUGUCCGUCAGUGUGCCGUCUGUCAGCAUGCCAAGCACGAGCACACGCACCCCGCAGGCAAGCUCCAACCCCUACCCAUUCCUACGGAACCAUGGCACGAUCUGACUAUGGAUUUUGUCGAGGGGCUACCCAAAUCAGAGGGGUCUGAUGCCAUCAUGGUCGUCGUCGAUCGCCUGACCAAGUACGCACACUUCAUUCCGCUGCACCACCCCUUCACCGCGGCGCAAGUCGCCCGCGCAUUCUGGGAGCAUGUCAUCAAGCUACACGGGGUUCCUCACUCCAUCGUCUCGGAUCGUGACAAGAUCUUCACGAGCGCCAUGUGGCGGGAACUGCUCGCCGCCGCGGGAACCAAGCUGCUCUAUUCCACGGCGUACCACCCGCAGACGGACGGCCAGACAGAACGUGUCAACCAGUGCCUCGAGAUGUACUUGCGAUGCGCGGUGCACGACACGCCGCGGCAAUGGCGCAAGUGGCUCCCUGCGGCAGAAUUCUGGUACAACUCCGCUCAUCAUUCCUCACUCAAUUGUUCGCCGUUCAAGGCGCUGUACGGCAAGGAACCGAACCUGGGCGGUCUACCACACCUGAGCUCCACGCUGCACGAUCAAGCGGCGUCGCCGGAGCUAGACUGGACAGCACACACCGAGAUGCUGCGCGCCCAGCUCACGCGCGCCCAAGCUCGCUUCAAGAAGCAAGCCGAUCGUCACCGCGCGGAGCGCGCCUUCGACGUCGGCGAGAACGUGCUCCUCAAACUGCAGCCGUACGCGCAGUCGACCGUCGCCAACCGCCCGUGUCGCAAGCUCUCCUACAAGUUCUUCGGCCCUUUUGAAGUGACAGAGCGGAUUGGAACCUUGGCAUAUCGCCUGCAGUUGCCUCCAGACAGCCGCAUCCAUCCGGUAUUUCACGUCUCCCAGCUCAAACCCUUCACUCCAGAUUACACUCCAGUCUUCGCCGAGCUGCCACGGGUACCCGACCUCACUGGGGGUGAAACGGAGCCAGUGGCGAUCUUGGAGCGGAGGAUGAUGAAGAAGGGCGAUGCACCGGUCGUGCAACUCCGUGUCCAGUGGGCAAACAUGCCAACUUCAGCCACCACCUGGGAAGAUUACACCGUUCUUCGCCAACGCUAUCCAUCAGCCUGCAUCUGGGAAGGAGCUUCAUCUCAAGGGGAGGACAAUGUCGCGCCUACUGAUGCAUCAGUGGCGGACUGAACUAGUGCAGUCAGUUAGCUGAACUGCAACGCUAGUGUGUGUGUGGGCUUGGGGCCGUAUGUGUUGUGGGCCUGAGGCCAUGUAAGGGUAAGCCCAGGAGGGGCGGCUACUUAUGUACGAAACACUAAGGAGAAAGGCAGCGAGUGAUUGACUGAACCUUCUUUCCCCUCCUCCACGUCUCUCACCUACUCUCUUCUAUCUUCCUCAUCCCCAAUUUCCGAUCGAGAUCCGUCUAGGCAUUACAAAACAACAACAACAAGAUAGUCAGGCCUCUUGCAUCGGACCAUAAACUGGCCAGAAUUAAUGCGAUGAUACAGAAAAUGCAGAGGGAGGAGAGUUGUUGUUUAUUACCACCAUUGUUUGUCCUGCUGUUGUAGUUGAUCAAAAGGGCGACUUGGUUGAUUCCUAAUCUCGAUACUGAUCCAGUUCCAUCCGACCUCCUGCCUGGAGCUGGACUAGAGGGAUUCCAACUCUACCUACGAACCAGGCAUAUUAAUUGGCAACAUAUAUUUGAAAAAAACAUGUAUCUAUCUAAUUCGCAGCGAGGAAAUCAAUCAACUAAAAGAGAGUCAUGUCCUGAAUAUUAAUUAAGAAACAGUAUAACUAACUGACCUACGAGCCCUCACAACCACCCUCGCGCAGGUUACGUCGGAUUAGUGUUUGACCGUCCUGAUUUAACGAUCGGGGGUUGCGGGCCACGUGACUGGGCUGCUGCUCCUCAAGUCUAUUUUGCUGGCCUCUCAUUCAAUGGGCCCUGGCACAGAGCUUUCACGGCCUGUUAGUAGUGAAGCUUCCUUCAUUCGUUCGGCCUACAACAGCAUAUCGAUGGUGAUGGACUCCCUCUAUGCGAUCGCGGCGCCCCUCGCUCUCCCUCCACUGCCCCUCCCCGUAAUCCACUCUUCCCAAGCAACCUCUCUCCUCUAGCAAGCUAGGCUUAAUCCUAGAUGUGCCAAAGCCACAACCAUUCCCUCCUGUGCAGUCCGCACUCUUUUUUGACUUCGACAAUCAGGAUCCUUGCGCAAGGGGAGAGCUGUCCGUGCUCAUCCAAUAGCUGAUAUGAUCGUUAGUGUUGCAUGUUGCUUGGCAUUUUCAGGUAUAUAUCUCACAACUAUCUAUCAGGAUCCAUAUUCAGUUUUGUAUCUGACUUCCCCGAUCUGACAUUGUUUUUCCAAAUUUUGCAACACAUCCUUUAAACCUUGAAUAUCUGCAUUUGUCAUGUUAAUCUGUCAAGCAACAACAUGAGUGGAUCAAUCCCCUAUGAGCCUAGCUUUUUAAUUAUAUCAUUCGUACAACAUCACAAAUCCUUUCAUGGAGGCAAUAUGACAUAAGUAAAAAUUUCAUCAAAUUUCAGGGAACUUUUCAUGUUGAUAUGGUGAACCAACUGAAGAAACUCUGUAUGAUUGCACCCUGAAAAUGAAUAUUAUAGGGUCUAAGUUUUAUUUAUGAAUGAUAAGUUAAUUUCAGUUAGUUUUUCCAAAUUCAGUCCUACCAUAGUUCAAUCUUUAUAAUUUUAAUUUUUAGGAGUUUCUAACUUUCUGUUAUGUGUGUCAACCACUGAUCGCAAUGUUUGGAUAAUUUUCUCGACAUAUUUCUCAUUUGUGUUGGUCUACAAAUUAUGCGAAUUAUAUUGGCGCCUUUAUGAAUAAAGGAAUAAACAGAAAUAUAACCUGCGUACAUUUUACAAGAAUGAUAUAUCAAUACUGCUAUGAUGUAUUAACCAUUUAUAUAAUAGGAAUCGUGUAAUAAUCGAUGGCUGAUUUGUAUGAAAAAACCACACUUUAAUAUAAGAAGGGGUGAAAUGGUAGAUCUUAAACAGUUUGCAAUGAUUGCGGUAACAUCACAAUUUCAGUCCUCAACACGCUGAAUGUUCAUACCAAUUAGUAUUGACAUGCAUAUCUUACACAUAAUAUACUCUGGUAAAGAAAAAGGAACGUAUAUACAACCACCAAUGCUAAUUGUAUUUCUACCCCCAAAAAAAGUUAUAAUUGUAUUUCCAUUUUUUUUCAUUAAUAUAUAUGUAUCCAUACAUUGUGUAUUGUGUUAUACUACAGGAUAGUGGUUGAUGACAUCACCCAUUUGAAUUCUUCGUUGUCUUGUCACACCAUGCUGCUUUGCAGGUAGCUUGCUUCAUCACCCAUUUAUGAUUUGAUUUUGAUCCUAUGCUCCUCUCCAGAUAAUGGAGCAUAUAGUUUCCUAGGUGUUUUGUUGUAGUCUUUUUUCCAUGUUGGAAGUUUAUGAACAUGUUAACUAUUCAAGUUUUCAAUUGCUUAUCUACGCACAAAUUUACUUUCUAUGCUGGAGUCAGAGACAUUUCUCAUAUAUCAUAUUUUUAUCUUUUUCUCAUCAAAAUGCAUUGGCGCUGUAACGCGCACCAUCAUGUUCUAGUUGGUAACGAAGAUCCAACCAACAGAAUGGUGGCAUGCCAGGAUGCCAAAAACUGUUAGUUCAACAAGGAGAAUAUAUCAAGGGAAAAUCUAAAAAUAAGAAACAAGGCUUGCCGCUGGCCUAUCCACAAAGUAUCUCGGAUAGAUAUAUGAUAGCACCUAGCAUUCUUGCUGGAAUAAUAUUCACAUGUAUGUGCUUGCAAACUAAACAAUACAUUUUCUGCUAGCUGCCAUGAUUAAGGCCCAGGAUUUGAUACUAUUUGCAUAAUCAGGGUGCUGCUAUACAAAUAUAAAUAUAGAAACCAAAUACUCAAUGUUCUUCCAUAACCCAGAUUUACUAUCACCAUAUUGUGCCCUUACUUAUUACCAUUUUUGAUAGAACCUAGGUAUUAUGACAGUCUAAUGCAUCCAAUGUUUAUAAUGACAUUACAAAUUGUACCAUUAAGCAGCUUAGGAGGACUAUCCUCUGUUCCUGUAACAGAACCGGCGUAAAAUCUUGACUUGCCUCCACCACCUACAUAUGAAGAUUGACUAAUUGUUAGUACAUUACUGACAAAUGCUUCUCUUGGAUAGACGCGUCACUACAUGUGUACAUAAUUAGGACAUACAAAUCAGAUUUGUUACUUCAUAGACCCACACAUAAUCAGAUUUAGCUACAAGGCUUUGAAAGCUGGCAUCCAUGCAAUAAGAAAUAAAUAAAUGAAAAAUAAAAUAUGCCACUCACAAAGGGAAACAUAAUUACAAUUCUAACAGUAGAAUGACACGCAUCCCUCUCCUUUGUAAUGCCUCGGCCAGGAAAUUGUUACAUGCAACAAAUUUGUGGAUGAUGCACGCACAAGAACAACCAUAUAUUUAUUUACCUACUGGAAGAGGCCAACCGAUUCAUGGCUGGAUCUGUUCAGUUACCUGCACAUACUAGAAAACCACUGACACAGCUUACCUAGACCAGAUCUGGAGGUGGGGCAAGGAAGGGGCGAUGAGAAACCACUCACAUACCAGAAGCUUACAUCUUGAAUUCUGUAGGCGGGGCGGAGCGAAGGAAAUCAGAUGAAACAGAGGUCGCACGUGGAGACAAAUCAGCAGUGGAUCCUCAGCGGCGGUUGACGGCGCUGCUGCUCCUCGGCGUGGCGGACGGAGCUGCUGCUCCCGGGCGGAUGGUGCCCUGCGGGGAGGGAGGCCAGGGUCGGAGAUGAUGUGGCACGAGGGGACCAGAGGACGGGCGGCGGCACGCAGAUCAGGGGCGGUGGCGCAGUUGAGUUAGGUUUAGGUCGGGGGCAACGGUGCAAUCGGGUAGAGAGAGGGGGAGGGGGAUUGGGGAGUGGACGGGUGUGUUUUUUCUGGUGUGGUCCCACCCGCGUGUUUUCCACCGCGUGCGCAUGGCUCUCUUUC
rnacentral:lncRNA from 1 species